GACGAACGCUGGCGGCGUGCUUAACACAUGCAAGUCGAACGGAAAGGCCCUGCUUUUGUGGGGUUCUCGAUUGGCGAACGGGUGAGUAACACGUGAGAAACCUGCCCUUGACUUUGGGAUAACUUCAGGAAACUGGGGCUAAUACCGGAUAGGAGCUCCUGCUGCAUGGUGGGGGUUGGAAAGUUUCGGCGGUUGGGGCUCGACUCGCGGCUUAUCAGCUUGUUGGUGGGGUAGUGGCUUACGAAGGCUUUGACGGGUAGCCGGCCUGGGAGGGUGACCGGCCACAUUGGGACUGAGAGACGGCCCAGACGGCUACGGGAGGCAGCAGUGGGGAAUAUUGCACAGUGGGCGGAAGCCUGAUGCAGCAACGCCGCGUGCGGGAUGACGGCCUUCGGGUUGUAAACCGCUUUCGACUGUGACGAAGAGUGAGUGACGGUAAUGGGUAAAGAAGCACCGGCUAACUACGUG
rnacentral:rRNA from 1 species